CGGCCCUGAGCGGUAAGGGAGCCGGUGCCAUCCGCCCCGGGGAGCUCGGGGGCUCGGCCAGGUUCCCGCAGAGCCGUGGUCUGGAGCCUCUCCUGCGGUUUGAGUCCCGUCGCGGACCGACAGAGAGCAGGAAAGAACGCAUGGGGAGGCCUGUGUGGACAGCGGCUCACACACGACGGUGUGACGGUUGCACGACACGCAUGUCCUCGGGGCCGCUGAACGGAUCACCUACUGAGAACGGGCCACGCCCAGGCACCUGCUCUGCUACCUGUUUCGGAUCCCUAGAACUGUUAAUGCAAACCAUUGCUGGCAAAGAAAAAGCCACCUUAGUGACCCACCUGCUGUCAGCCCUUGUUCCAGACUGUCCUGAGGUGGGCGUGACCAAUGUCAGCUGCUCCGUCCAGCUAACGGGAAGCCCUUUCCAGGGGACACCUCACACGGCGUAAGGAAUCUCACCAGCUAACUGCAGUCUAUCAAGAAAAUAGUACUAUAUUCCCA
rnacentral:lncRNA from 1 species